rnacentral:rRNA from 1 species
GACGAACGCUGGCGGCGUGCUUAACACAUGCAAGUCGAACGGAAAGGCCCUGCUUGCAGGGUACUCGAGUGGCGAACGGGUGAGUAACACGUGGGUGAUCUGCCCUGCACUUCGGGAUAAGCCUGGGAAACUGGGUCUAAUACCGGAUAGGCGCCAUUUUUAGUGUGAUGGUUGGAAAGUUUUUUCGGUGUAGGAUGAGCUCGCGGCCUAUCAGCUUGUUGGUGGGGUAAUGGCCUACCAAGGCGGCGACGGGUAGCCGGCCUGAGAGGGUGGACGGCCACAUUGGGACUGAGAUACGGCCCAGACUCCUACGGGAGGCAGCAGGGGGGAAUAUUGCACAAUGGGCGCAAGCCUGAUGCAGCGACGCCGCGUGGGGGAUGACGGCCUUCGGGUUGUAAACUCCUUUCGCUAGGGACGAAGCUUUUUGUGACGGUACCUAGAUAAGAAGCACCGGCUAACUACGUG